rnacentral:rRNA from 1 species
AUUGAACGCUGGCGGCAUGCCUUACACAUGCAAGUCGAACGGCAGCGCGGGCUUCGGCCUGGCGGCGAGUGGCGAACGGGUGAGUAACAUAUCGGAACGUGCCCUGGAGUGGGGAUAACUAGUCGAAAGAUUAGCUAAUACCGCAUACGAUCUACGGAGGAAAGUGGGGGACCGCAAGGCCUCACGCUCGUGGAGCGGCCGAUAUCUGAUUAGCUAGUUGGGGGUAAAGCCUACCAAGCCACGAUCAGUAGCUGGUCUGAGAGGACGACCAGCCACACUGGGACUGAGACACGGCCCAGACUCCUACGGGAGGCAGCAGUGGGGAAUUUGGACAAUGGGCGCAAGCCUGAUCCAGCAAUGCCGCGUGAGUGAAGAAGG